rnacentral:rRNA from 1 species
UAGACGACUGGGUUGAUAGGCCGGAUCUGGAAGCACCGUGAGGUGUGGAGGUGACCGGUACUAAUAGGCCGAGGGCUUGUCCUCAGUUG